rnacentral:rRNA from 1 species
GGAGUUAGCCGGUGCUUCUUCUGUGAGUGAUGUCCUUCCUGCCGGCUAUUAACCCGCAGGCCUUCUUCCUCACUGAAAGUGCUUUACAACCCGAAGGCCUUCUUCACACACGCGGCAUGGCUGGAUCAGGGUUGCCCCCAUUGUCCAAUAUUCCCCACUGCUGCCUCCCGUAGGAGUCUGGGCCGUGUCUCAGUCCCAGUGUGGCUGAUCAUCCUCUCAGACCAGCUACGGAUCGUCGCCUUGGUGAGCCGUUACCUCACCAACCAGCUAAUCCGACAUAGGCUCAUCCGAUAGCGCGAGGCCCGAAGGUCCCCCGCUUUCCCCCGUAGGGCGUAUGCGGUAUUAGCCUGGGUUUCCCCAGGUUAUCCCCCACUACCGGGCAGAUUCCUAUGCAUUACUCACCCGUCCGCCGCUCGCCACCAGGGAGCAAGCUCCCCGUGCUGCCGCUCGACUUGCAUGUGUUAGGCCUGCCGCCAGCGUUCAAUCUGAGCCAGAAUCGAAACCUCGACUACGNGCGGCGGUCGGCGACGACGGCGACUAG